rnacentral:rRNA from 1 species
UUUAAAUGUGAAUUUUUAAACCAGGGUAGUAAUAGUUAUGUUCUUGAAACCCAAAGAAUUUGGCGGUGCUUUAGUCCUUUCAGAGGAAUCUGUCCCGUGAUCGACAUUCCACGAUAUGAUGUACUUACUUUUGUUUUCAGUUUGUAUACCUCCGUCGUAAGAGAAUCUUUUCAGAGUUAAAUUUUCUUAAUAUACUAAAUUUAUUAUGUCAGGUCAAGGUGCAAUUUAUGAGUAAGUGGAGAUGGAUUACAAUAAGUUUAUUUAAACGAAUUAGAAUAUUUAAUUUUCUAUGAAGGUGGAUUUGAUUGUAAUUUUAAUUGUUUAUUAUUAUGAUUAAUGGCUCUAAAGCAUGC